UUAACCGGUACGUAACAANACAGAUGAUGCCUAUCAACUGUUUAAAAGAUGGUUCUGCUAUCACUCUUGGAUGGACCUGCGGUGCAUUAGCUAGUUGGUAGGGUAACGGCCUACCAAGGCGAUGAUGCAUAGCCGAGUUGAGAGACUGAUCGGCCACAUUGGGACUGAGACACGGCCCAAACUCCUACGGGAGGCAGCAGAC
rnacentral:rRNA from 1 species